rnacentral:rRNA from 1 species
GACGAGGGGUCCUAGCGUUGCUCGGAAUCAUUGGGCGUAAAGCGGGUGUAGGCGGCUUCGUAAGUCAGUUGUGAAAGCCCCAGGUUCAACUUGGGAAGUGCUUCUGAUACUGCGAGGCUUGAGUAUGGGAGAGGGCAGUAGAAUUCCUGGUGUAGUGGUGAAAUACGUAGAUAUCAGGAGGAAUACCGGUGGCGAAGGCGGCUGCCUGGCCCAAUACUGACGCUCAGACCCGAAAGCGUGGGGAUCAAACAGG